GCCAGGCCAGGCUAAAUAAGGCCUCCCCCAGCCAGGCAGAGGGCCAGGGGCGACUACACCUAGGGGGUUCCACUUUGCACACAAACGUCGGAGCCACUUGAUCCUUUGGGAACAGGGAGUGCAGAACUCUCAACGAUCAUUUGUUCAUUAAUUUGUUCUUUCGCUCAUUCAGGAAAACAGCUUUAACAUCCUUCCUGCCCUGCCUACACCCAGGCCAAGGGAGCCCAUGGUGGUCUCCAGUAGUUUCCUCCAUCACAGCUCUGAGCAUGCCAAGUCAUCACACCUGCUCCGAGUUCCGCAGGCCAGAGACGGUUUCCUGUUCACCUCUGCAUUCCCAGCACCCAGCACUUGUCACUUAGCAAGUGUUCAGUGAAUAUUGUGUUCUCUGUAAGCAUAACUGGACUAAUGGCCCCUGGUUUGGUAUAAGGAGGAAGUUCCUGAGAAUCACAGUUGAACAAUAACGGGAACAGCAACUUCAGGAGAUAAUGGACUUCCUUUUACUGAAUGUAUGCAAGCAAAAAUUUGAUGGCUAUUCUCUCAGAGGCUGUAAGAAGAUAUCAACACAGAGCCAAGAGUAGUGGAGAAUACAGGACAGCAGAUCUUUUUGUUCUGGACCUGUUCGUAGGAGCCAGAGUAAGCCCCUGCCCCUCCCCAGGCCUCAGACCAGCAUCUGGGAAAUGAAAGUGCGAGUCUAGAUAUGAGUGACCCUCCCGCUCUGACAACCCAUGGUUUUGUGAACAUCUGCUUUGUAUCCAGGCUUAGCCAUAUGUACAAGUUAAUAUUCAGCCAAUGUUUAAUGAAUGAGUGAGUAUUGAAUGAAUGAACAAAUGAAA